CAUUUUAGAAUGCUUGAAUAUAUUUUAUGAUACAAUCAUGAAAUCUGUGAUGUCUUAUUUAGAAAUGCAGGCCAAAUUACAUUUAAUUUAUUAAGGGUUUGGAGACAUAACACUUUACUCAUAAAGUACAUUAACAAAUAGAUCGGUGGGCUGGUAUAAAUGAACUGGGUUUACUCUAUUUUUUACCCCCUUCAGGCAGAACUCACAGUUUGGAGAUGAAAAAACAUUUAGUGAUUCAUCAUUGCUGGAAAAUCUCCAAAAUAAUCAUCCAACUGCACCUAUAAUAUGUGAAUUUCUUACAAUGAUGGCAGUCUGUCACACAGC
rnacentral:sRNA from 1 species